CCAAGUCAGUUCCGGUCGAGAGCGCGGAGAGGAGCGGAGCGGAGCGCGGCCUGCUUCCCCGGGGCCCUCGGCGCCUUGCGGCCCCAGGCCCGAGGCCGAGCGGAGGGCCCCGGGGACCGGCGGGGGCACUCGCGGCAGCGGGCUCCCGCAUCCCCGCCGCAAUGACUUGGUGGCGGCGGCGGCCCCAGCGAGCCCGGGCUCCACCCUGCCGGGUCAUCGAGGCCUCGCCCGGCUGCCGAGGACGCGGCGCCCUUGGUGGCGGCGGGCAUGGCGCAGCCGGGCCACCGCGGCGGCGGAGGCUUUGACGGGCUGGAGGACGGAGACCGCAGGAGGCCUUGGAAGCUCGCCCGCAUUCUAGGCCGCCGAUCCGGGACCUGGGGUGACCUCCCUGCCCCACAGGGAGGCCGCACCCCGCGACAAGGACACACGAAGGCCCUAACGGUCCUGGCAGGUGAGCGGAGCCCCGGAUGACGGCAGGGGCAACGGUUGGCGGCCCCGGCGGUUGGGCUGGUGCCCGCGGAGAAACGGUAGAGUGAUGGCCACGGGUGCCCACCGGAAGCCCACGAAGAUUUCCUGGCCGCUAGCAGGCCUGUGUAUAUAAUAUGAAAAAGCUGCUCUCAACUUCCCCCAACCUUUUAAAAGACGACUUUGAGUCCAUCUGGGCAUUCCAGAUGCGAAGAGGUUGCCGACGUAUGAUGAAGUAGAGGUAGAAAGUCGCACCUGUCAAUGCCCAUGUGUUUGUAAAGACCAUAGAAACGUCUUCUGGAAGUGACUUGGAAUGGCGGUGUGAGACCACCUCCAGAGGACACAGCCAGAGCCACACUCGUCCGCGUUUGUUCCGUUCGGUGGUUGGAGGACAUGGAAUAGAAGACCCGUGAGAAGGAAGAGGGGAUCGGCGAAGACGUUUUCCAGUGACAGCCAUUGAUCUGUGUGCAUCUCAUUCCCCUUGCUGUAUAUAGAGUUGACUGCACUUAAGUACCUUUGAUAUUCUGAAGUGCCUGAUGUAUUUUUAAAGUAGGAGUAGGAAAAUAACACAUUUUGUAAACGUCCCUAUUAAAAGUCUUGUGAAAUGCAUUUGGGGGGGGGGGGAGGGAGAACGGUUAACCGCUUGAGUUGUAGGCGUGGUGCUUACGCCUUGGUACCCAGGUGAAAGAAAUGUAAAGAGGGCCACUCCAGUGCUUACAGGGAAGAGGAACCUUGUCCCAUUUUGUUCUACUUUCUUGUGUACAUAGUGUAUAUAAAGGACAAAGGAGUCCUAACUUACAUCUAGUCUUUCUAGAUGUUAGAGAGGUUGCCAGUGUAUGACAAAAAUAGAAUUAGUAGACUUUGUAUGUUUUGUGUUAAAAUCCCUAGAAAAGGUCUUCUGAAAAUCUGAGCAAUCUAGCCCACUGGGUAGGUGGACAAAGGUUCUAGAAUGUUCAUAUUUUGAAGACAUUUUUCAGAUUAUAAUUAGUUACAUGUGUGCAGUCAGUGAAGACUGCCGUGUAUAUAGUGGACAAACUGAGUCCUUACUUGAAAACAUCUAGUCUCUCUAGAUGUUUAGAAGUGCCCAACGUAUGUUAAAUGUAGAGAUAGUAAAAUAAUCACUUUUUAGGUAUCUUUUUGCUAACAUUCACAUGAAACACUGUCUUUAGAAAAUGGAAUGGGGGAACCACCUCUGUGAGCAGAAUGGCAGGUACUGACUGUACUCAUUUAUUGGUUUGGAGGAGAGGUGGAAGUGAGCAAUUGCAAAAAGUAAUGUGCUAGUGUAUUCAUACCUGGACAUCCUCAGAUGCCAUUUUUCUGUAUUGUGCAUUUUGUUUUGCUGUGUAUAUAGUGUAUAUAUAAUAGACAAAAAAAGCCCAACUUUUGCAACAUCUAGUCUCUAGAUGUUAAAAGAGGUUGCCAGUGUAUGACAACGUAGUAAAAUUAGCACAUUUUGUGUACUUUGUGUUAAAAUGUCAUAGGAAGCUUUUUUUCUGUAAAUGACAAUUAGAUAAUGAAUUUGUUUAACUAUCUCUAAGCAUUACAUAUGCCUGUACUGGUCUACUGGUUUGAAGGCAGAUAGAAGGAAUUGAGGAGGGAAUGGCCCAUGGCCAAAAUGGCCGUAUUUAGAGGAUACCUCGGAUUAUAACCACUGUUGCAUGUGCAAUUGUAUUUACCAGUGCUGUGAGCACAGCAAGCAAGUUUGCCUAUGAAAUAGUCAGUCCUAGGUAUUUAGAAGUGUUUGGUGUACUUAAAAGUAGAAGUAGAAUAACUGUAAAUAGCUUUGCAAAAUUUGGGAAAUACUGUGUUUGGAAAUGGAGUUGUUAAACCACCUCUGUGAACAGUGUACUGUCUGUACUUGUUCACUGGGUUGAAGGUGAUGGAAAGGAAACUGCUGCAAAAGUUAAUUUUGUUAGUGUGUGUGAGAAAAUUUCAGCUUAUCCCUUACCCUCUACGUUACGUACAUUUCGUUUAAUUUUGCUGUAUUGUAUAUAUUAUGUACAGACUGGACAAAUGAGUCCUAAUUUUAUAAUAUCUAGUCUCUAGAUAUUAAAGAGGUUGCCAGUGUAUGACAGAAGUAGAGUUAGUAAACUAACACAUGUUGUAUGCAUUGUUAAAAUUCAUAGAAAGGCUGUCUUCUGAAAAAGGCUUUAGAAGCAAAAUUGUAACAUCUGUAUAUAUACAUGGGUCAGAUGUGAUACU